rnacentral:lncRNA from 1 species
GUGCACACCCACAGAAUGGGACACAGACACACAGAGGACUAAAUGACACACUGGGUUCCUACAAGUGUCAUCAUGUCACAGUCCCUGAGUAGCCUGUUAUACGAUGGUGUUCUUGAACUAUGUGAAUAUUUGGGCGAUUGCAGGGAUGAAGUUAGACAAAUCCAAGCGUUAUAAUUCUGCAUUAUGCCUAUGUUUUGACUUUUCGUCUUUUAUUUGGAGAAUAAGAAAGCCAAAUAGAGAAAAGGAAGCCCAGCCAACCAGCCCAGUUUCACGUGGGCAGAACCAGGAGGAAAUUCAAAGGGGAGGGAAUCCCCCUCGCCAGAGUCGCCUCCGCGUGCACCAGGAAGCCCACCGCAGGCCCACCAUCUGGGCUGGGAGAUUCGUCAGCAGACAUUGGCCUGCGACAGUCACACUUCCUGCUCCUCAGUCUGAGAUGCCCCAACCAGAUAGCGGAGGCCCAAUGGGGAAGGAGCAGCCUCGGCGGAGGCCCGCCUGGUUUUCCAGCCCUGGACUUGUAGCCAGGACAUCAGGACUCCCUCCUGCUCCCCAACUCCUCCUGCUGGUGAAGCAAGCCCCUCCUGCCCAGAGUGGAGCCUUCUCUGCCCUGGAAAGAUGCUUGGAAACUUGGCGAUGCUUCCAGACGUGCAGGCGCCAGGGGCCUGUUCUCUUCUCCUCCCCUUUCUCCUGGACUUGCUGACCUUCCUUCUGUGCCACAAACGGCCAGGUUCAUUCCCCUGUGUGGCCGUGUUCCUGUCCCCAGCCCUGUGCAUGGUUGCACCUCCUCACUUUUCAGGGCUCUGUCAAGUGUCACCUCCUGGGUGAGUGCCUCCCUGACCACCCUGUCUCCAGGAGCCCCCUCCACCCAGGCACUUCCUAGCAUGUCACCCCAUUUCCUCUUCUCAGGACCCCUCACCACCAUCUGAAAUGAACUUGAGUGCGUGAUGAGUUGGGGAACAUCUCUCUCCCUCCUUACCUGUGUAUGAGCUCAAGGAGGAAGGGACUGACCUGACUUAAGAACCCGUGUGCCCAGCGCCUAUGGCAGCACCUGGCACGGAGCUGCUGGCUGCCCACCAUGCUGGAUGACUCAUGGGAGAGCCGGGGAUCCGAGUCUUGCUGUGGCUGUUCACAGGCACCUGACUGUGGGAAGGACCUUUCCUCUAGGGAUCAAGGUUUUUUCCUUGGUAAAAUAGAGCAAAUUCCUAAUACUCAUCACUCAUGACUGCUGGGAGCUCAGACUGAGGUGACAUAUGUCAAAGCGCUUGGCCAACUCAGCUACAGAAAGAGAAGCGGCCAUGUUAAGUUGCUGGCACACACCCGAGUAGAAUUCAGGGAGUGGGCUAAGGGAGAGCACGGUGAUGGGCAGUCCGGUGGAAGUCUGCAAUGUGUGUGCUGAAAAUACUGGUUAAUAUUGACCACCGGGGAGAGGGGAAGAAAAUACUGGCUACCCUCUCCCUACGAACAUUAUUUCAUGCCUACUGCAUGCUGGGCUCUGUUCUGAAAGUUUCAUAGGAAUUCCCUUGUUAAAUUCUCACCACUAUACCUGAGAUUAUUAUCAUCUCCAUUGCACAGAUAAGGAAACUGAGGCACAGGGAGGUUAGGGUACCUCCGAAAUCCAUACUCUAAGCCACUGUGUUGCACUCUGUCUCCAGAAAAAAAAAUGCAUGGAAUAACAGAUUCAAUUCUGUUAAAGUCAAGGGAGAAUGGAAAUGCAUCUUGUUAGCUUAUUAAUCAAAUAAGAACUUCAGUGUCAGAGGGGAUCUUGACAGAUUCUCUAAAUGCGUCUUUUUUGAGCAGCACUUCUUUUCGCCAAGAGGAAGUACGUGACUCUGGUGGACACAGGUGGCAUUACCUCCAGCAUGUGUGACUCAGAGGGUGUUUCAGCAGGGUUUCAAGGACCCAGCUUCUGCAUGGGCCCCAGUAGGAAGCAAAUGUGGAAAUGGCUGGACCAUUUCUACAGAUGUGGAAAUGCUUCGUUUUAAUUUUUCCUUGAGCUUUGCAAGGCCUAGGUGGCCCGAGAAUGAGAUACUUUAUCUAGCCACAUGUCUCUUUGUAGACACGUCUAACUGUUACUCAACGCUCCUGCUCUCUUCUUUGAUAUCAACAGAACCUCAGGCUGCCCAGAAUGAAGUCCACCUUCUCUGGCAUCCCUCAUCCUGGGGUGGCCCCCUGGACUCAGUUCUGGUCAAUAGGAUGGAAAGAGAAGGGAUGGGUCUGACGUCCAGGCGCAUCCUGCAACACGAGUGUCUCCUUCCUUCCCCCACCCACUGGCUGGAAUGCAGACCGGGUGGCAAGCCAUACUGGGCCACCUGGAGGAGAGCGACACCCCAGGAAGGGCGACCACAAGGCAGGCAAAGGCUGGGCCCCAGCCCCUUGUAGCUGCCUGUUUUCAGGGUUCAUGAGCCAUGCAUCAGGC